rnacentral:rRNA from 1 species
CGGGGUGCAGCAGGCGCGAAAACUCUACAAUGCUGGCAACAGCGAUAAGGGGACCUCGAGUGCCAGGAUACAAUCUUGGCUGUCGCGAUGCCUAAAAAGCAUUGCAUAGCAAGGGCCGGGCAAGACCGGUGCCAGCCGCCGCGGUAACACCGGCGGCUCGAGUGGUAACCGCUAUUAUUGGGUCUAAAGGGUCUGUAGCCGGCCGGAUAAGUCUUUUGGGAAAUCCAGCUGCUCAACAGUUGGGCUUUCAGAAGAUACUGUUCGGCUCGAGACCGGGAGAGGUGAGAGGUACUUCAGGGGUAGGGGUGAAAUCUUGUAAUCCUUGAAGGACCACCAGUGGCGAAGGCGUCUCACCAGAACGGGUCUGACGGCAAGGGACGAAAGCUAGGGGCACGAACCGGAUUAGAUACCCGGGUAGUCCUAGCCGUAAACGAUACUCGCUAGGUGUCAGCCACGGUGCGACCGUGGUUGGUGCCGUAGGGAAGCCGUGAAGCGAGCCACCUGGGAAGUACGGCCGCAAGGCUGAAACUUAAAGGAAUUGGCGGGGGAGCACAAGGGCGAAUCGCG